AAAAAGCAGUGUACUAGAAGCUGGAGGAAAGCAGGAAUGUUCAGAGGCAAAUGAAGAUUCUGCAGAAUAAGCAAGCUCAGAUUGUCAAAGAGAAAGUUCACUUGCAGAGUGAAUACAGCAAGACCAUCUUGGCAAGAAGCAAGCUAGAAUCUCUUUGCAGGGAACUUCAGCAAAAUUAAUGUCAAAAUAAGACAUUAAAGGAGGAACAUAUGCAGCAGAAAAAAGAGGAGGAAGAAGUUCUUAAAGAAGUAACUGCACAUUUCCAAAUUACUUUAACUGAAACUCAAGCCCAGCUGGAACAGCAUGAAAUACACAAUGCCAAACUGCAGCAGGAGAACAUGGAAAUGGGAGAAAAGCUAAAGAAGCUCACUGACCAGUAUGCACUGAGGGAAGAGGUAAACGGCGUUUGGUUUGUUUAUAGACAGCUGCUCACCAGUAGCAAAAGCUACACCC
rnacentral:lncRNA from 1 species